CAAUAUCAAGACCUGGGUAAUCACCAGUGAAUAACCACCAGUCUCACAAGGAGAAAUUAAACCACUGAUCACUCAGUCCACACUUAGCUCCCUGGAAGACUACGAGAGUGACUUUCAGUUCUCUGUUACUGUGCCUCCCAACCACACAAAAUAGUUGAGGUCUAACUACAAAAGGAAGAAUUUUCCUGACUGUCCAUAAUAUCAACCACUUCCUGGAAUGAAAUAUCACUUUAUAUAAAUUAUCACCA
rnacentral:lncRNA from 1 species